CGUACGAGAAUGACAAAUUAAAUUUUUCCUCCUGAUUUUUAACCUUUUCCUCUUGAAAAAAAAUUCAAAUCCAACUAAAAAUACUAAAAAUGAGGAAGAAAAAAUUAAUUUGUCUUUCUCCUAUU
rnacentral:pre_miRNA from 1 species